GCCAGGCACAGUAGCGCACGCCUGUCAUCCCAGCAGUUGGGAGGCUGAGGUAGGAGGAUCACGAGUUCAAAGCCAGCCUCAGCCAAAAGGAGGCCCUAAGCAACUCAGUGAGACCCUGUCUCUA
rnacentral:sRNA from 1 species